AUUGACGUUAAUUCCCAUAGAAAGAUUCUACCUCUGAAUAUUCCCCAAAAUGUGCAACCCUAGUCUAGAAUGUCAUUUUAAGAGACUUCCCUUCACUGGAACUAAGGGGCCUAGUCUGAACCAUGAAAAACAGCCCCAGACCACUAUUCCUCCUUCACCAAACUUUUCAGUUGGCACUAUGCAUUGGGGCCAGGUAGCGUUCUCCUGGCAUUCGCCAAACCCAGAUAGUGUAGUGCGAUUCAUCCCUCCAGAGAACGUGUUUCCACUGCUCCAGAGUCCAGAGUAUUGUGUGCGGCUGCUCUGCCAUGGAAACCCAUUUCACAAAAAGCCCCUGACAAACAGUUCUUGUGCUGACGUUGCUUCCAGAGGCAGUUUGGAACUUGGUAGCCGAGGAAAGAUGAUUUGUACACGCUAUGUGCUUCACACUCGCCGGUCCCAGAUUGUGUGGCCUACCACUUUGUUGCUGAGCCGUUGUUGCUCCUAGACGUUUCUACUUCACAUUAACACCACUUGCAGUUGACUGGGCAGCUCUAGCAGGGCAGAAAUUUGCUUAACUGACUUGUUGGAAAGGUGGUAUCCUAUGACGGUGCAACGUUGAAAGUCACUGAGCUCUUCAGUAAGGCCGUUCUACUGCCAAUGUUUGUCUAUGGAGAUUGCAUGGCUGUGUGCUCGAUUUUAUAAACCUGUCAGCAACGGGUGUCACUGAAAUAGCUGAAUUUCAAGGCGUGUCCACAUACUUUUAUAUAGACAGUGUAAAGUACAGGACAGGUCCAGGUAUAACAUAGUAGCCUAGUAUAAAUGAUUAAACGCCUCCAGCUGUAGGUUAAAUACUGAUUAAACCCCUCAGGCUGUAGGUUAAAUACUGAUUAAACCCCUCAGGCUGUAGGUUAAAUACUGAUUAAACCCCUCAGGCUGUAGGUUAAAUACUGAUUAAACCCCUCAGGCUGUAGGUUAAAUACUGAUUAAACCCCUCAGGCUGUAGGUUAAAUACUGAUUAAACCCCUCAGGCUGUAGGUUAAAUACUGAUUAAACCCCUCAGGCUGUAGGUUAAAUACUGAUUAAACCCCUCAGGCUGUAGGUUAAAUACUGAUUAAACCCCUCAGGCUGUAGGUUAAAUACUGAUUAAACCCCUCAGGCUGUAGGUUAAAUACUGAUUAAACCCCUCAGGCUGUAGGUUAAAUACUGAUUAAACCCCUCAGGCUGUAGGUUAAAUACUGAUUAAACCCCUCAGGCUGUAGGUUAAAUACUGAUUAAACCCCUCAGGCUGUAGGUUAAAUACUGAUUAAACCCCUCAGGCUGUAGGUUAAAUACUGAUUAAACCCCUCAGGCUGUAGGUUAAAUACUGAUUAAACCCCUCAGGCUGUAGGUUAAAUACUGAUUAAACCCCUCAGGCUGUAGGUUAAAUACUGAUUAAACCCCUCAGGCUGUAGGUUAAAUACUGAUUAAACCCCUCAGGCUGUAGGUUAAAUACUGA